AGAGAGGUUGCGUGGAGGGGGAUGGGUCGAGACUGGGCCGCGUGGAAGAACCUUGAGGGUUUUGACAGAUGAGAGGGAGUCUUUUGACCUCCGCGACGAGUCACGUGGGCUGACGGGGGCGGGGACGGAAAGGAGGGAUAAGUUCCUUCCGGGUCAGUGACAGAAGCGUGGACUCCGUGGGGCAGUUCCUGGCGUCUUCGUCUUCCCCGCGUCCUCCCUGUACCGGCGCGAGGGGAUUGUGGUUUCCACGAUGAGCUCCCAGAAAGGGAACGUGGCUCGUUCCAGGCCUCAGAGGCACCAGAAUACGUUUAGCUUCAGAAAUGACAAGUUUGAUAAGAGUGUUCAGACCAAGAAAAUUAAUGCAAAGCUUCAUGAUGGAGUUUGUCAGCGCUGUAAAGAAGUACUUGAAUGGCGCGUAAAGUACAGCAAAUAUAAACCAUUGUCGAAGCCUAAAAAAUGCCAGCCAGUGAGGAAGGUAUUGUCAUUAUCCCCAUGUCGCAGAUAAGGAACUGAGGCCUACAGAGGUUAAUAAUUGGUCCAAGAUCACACAGCGGGUUCCAAAAUCCAAAAGACAUCCAUGGAAGGGCAUUGAAAGGUUGCAUAAUCUACAAAGUAUACCCCCAACAUCUCCAAAGAUGGGAGAAAAAAGAAGUAAGGGAAAAUAGAAGUGAGACCAGUGAGAGAGAGAGAGAGAGAGAGAAAGUGAUAAUGGUGAUUUUCAACUUGAACAGAGAGAGAGCGAGAGAGAGCACAGA